AGUAGAUGCUCAGCACCUCACUGUCCUGAAGGAAUGAACCAACUGUUGACAACAUUGGUUUGACUACGAAUUGACAACGUUCUUUUCUAGAUGGCAAGAUUUUUGCUAAAGAACUUCUUCAGGAAGAAGAGAACUAAACUCAAGUGGAAGCUGAAUAGAACACUAUUAUGAGCUGAACUGUGCCCCACCCCCUGCAAAUUCAUAUAUUGAAGUCUUAACCCCUAGUACCUCAGAAUGUGACUGUACUUUAAAGAGGUUAAGUUAAAAUGAGGUCAUUAGUAUAGGCCCUAAUCCGACAUAACUGGUGUCUUUACAAGAAGUGGUGAUUUGGACAGACAUGUACACCCAGAAGAAAGACGGUGUGAGGACACAGGGAGAAGACAGCCAUUUACAAAACAGCCAUGUACAAGCCAAGAAGGCUUCAGAAGAAACCAACUGAGCCAACACCUUGAACUUUAACUUUUGGCCUACAGAAGGGUGGCGAGGAAGGUUUCUAAACAGUGGAGGCGCAAUUAGUGUGGGUGUCAUAGCCCAAAUGGGAUGAAGACGGCCUCCACAUGGGAAAUAGGCUCAGAAAAAAAUGUUGGAGCCCAGUUGGGGUAAGAAAGCCAUCUCUGCAGGGGAAGGAGUGGUAGUGGAGAUGAAAGACUGUCACAUGCAGAAGAAAAAAAUAUAUCAAGAAUAAUGGAAGUCAGAUUUAUCCUGUGCAAGAAUGGAACUACAAUUAUGGAAAGGGAGUAGAAUAAACCCUGUAGUGUUAGACUGAAGUACUGGUGUGAAUUCAUGGUUUUUAAUGUGUAAUAAUGUAAAGAAAUAUAAUUAAAUGAAAUUAAAUAUAAAAUUUUUAAAAGAUGCAAAUGUUUAAUGUACGUGUGUAUGUAAGUAUAGAAAUUUUAAAUUUUACAUAUUUAUGUUUUCAUACUGACAUAUAUAUGUAUAUGUAUAUUCUCUUUCUGAGAGAGCCUAUGAGCAGUGGCACUUCUAAUAACAUCUAGCAUCUAGCUCUUGGCACCAGAUACUAUGCUUACCUAAGAGGAAGCAAGCCUCCUUGGAGAAAUGGCUAUUCUAGGGCUGGGCAUGGAUAAGGACAAAAUGAACCUAGAGCAUCUUGCUGUACUAGAAAGCAAGGAAGUGCUCAAUGGAUGAUGGAAGACUUAUCAAAAGAACCCAGAAGGCAGGUCAAAGGGUGUCCCUGUGGUAAAAUCUGGAACAAUUUUUAGCAUUAAAUAAUGAUAGUAACAAAUUAUAAUCCACUGAAGGAGAUAGGAAACCAUGAGUGUAUUCUGACAUAAUUAACUGAAUAAAUUUAAAGUUUAAUAAGGAAUGAGAUAUUUACACAGUUUUAAAAUGCCUUCACACAAAAGCAUUAAUCCCAAAGGAAAAAUAAUAACUUCAAAGGGAAGAAGCCUGAC
rnacentral:lncRNA from 10 species